UAGUAUUUCAUGAUACAGUAUAGAGUUAGACAUCAUCAUGUUGUGAGAAUUCCCACUAUAGAACACAAGACCAUGUCUUAGAGACAUCACUAAGAUUAAUAACCGUGUAAGACAUAUGAGAAGAAGGUUACAUAAGCACAACAGGAUGAUUAACCCAGUAUAAUAGGGACAUUUUGCAAUUGAAAUUUGGUUUUUUAAAAGAUCUUUAUAAAUUAUACUAUCCCAUGUAAUCAUCUCAACUCCUGCUCAGAUGUGAAGGAAAAAACUUUUAAGAAACAAAGAACUUCUAUAACAUCGCAGUUGGACAGGGGCUCUAUGCCCCACCAGGACCAAGUAUGCACCACUCCACCAUUUAAAAAGGGAAGAAAACUGUUUGGAAGAGAACUCAGUUCCAUUUGUCAGGAUGGCAUCGUGCCUGCAGCAAUUCUGUUCUACAGUGCCAAACAGUAAAGGACAAAUUGGAUUCAGAAGAGGAGGUGGAUAUAAACAAGCAAUCACUUAAUGUAAUGGCGUGGAUCUUUAAGCUUAAAUAGAUGAAACUUACUGGGCCCACAUAUCAUGGAAC
ensembl:lncRNA